rnacentral:rRNA from 1 species
CUUUUGGUUCGGAACAACUGAGGGAAACUUCAGCUAAUACCGGAUAAGCCCUUACGGGGAAAGAUUUAUCGCCGAAAGAUCGGCCCGCGUCUGAUUAGCUAGUUGGUGAGGUAAUGGCUCACCAAGGCGACGAUCAGUAGCUGGUCUGAGAGGAUGAUCAGCCACAUUGGGACUGAGACACGGCCCAAACUCCUACGGGAGGCAGCAGUGGGGAAUAUUGGACAAUGGGCGAAAGCCUGAUCCAGCCAUGCCGCGUGAGUGAUGAAGGCCCUAGGGUUGUAAAGCUCUUUUGUGCGGGAAGAUAAUGACGGUACCGCAAGAAUAAGCCCCGGCUAACUUCGUGCCAGCAGCCGCGGUAAUACGAAGGGGGCUAGCGUUGCUCGGAAUCACUGGGCGUAAAGGGUGCGUAGGCGGGUUUCUAAGUCAGAGGUGAAAGCCUGGAGCUCAACUCCAGAACUGCCUUUGAUACUGGAAGUCUUGAAUAUGGCAGAGGUGAGUGGAACUGCGAGUGUAGAGGUGAAAUUCGCAGAUAUUCGCAAGAACACCAGUGGCGUAAGGCGGCUCACUGGGCCAUUACUGACGCUGAGGCACGAAAGCGUGGGGAGCAACAGGAUUAGAUACCCUGGUAGUCCACGCCGUAAACGAUGAAUGCCAGCCGU